GAAUCUCCUGUGAUAACAGAAGGAGUAACAUAAAGACCAAGAGACAUGUGAGAAGCUAAGUCAGAGGCUUGAAAGGAAGCAAAAAGAUAAAUGGAUUCUGGAAGAGAGGAACUCUGUUGUAUUUGUACAGAGAAUCUGAAGCUGGAAAUUCCUUCACAGUGUCUAUAUCUCUGGAAAUCACUAUUCUGAGAAGACUCCUUGAACUUGAAAGGGUAGAAGAUAGGUUGGUUAUGACAAUUGCAUAUCAUCUUCUAAGAUGCCAGGAGUGAGUUGACAAAGAAGACUUUCUGCAUACCUUACUGCUCUGCCUGGAAGCUAAAGAAAAAAUAAUCCUUUUGUAUGCCACAUGAAGCAGGUUAAGGUGCCAGCUGCCUGGACUUACCAGUUUCCACUCCUUUGGUUAGAUGUCAACCACUUCUGAUCCUUCACUUCUGAAAAAUUUAUCUCAGGUCACAGAAGAUAAGAAGGACUCACAACCGAACACAAUCUCUCCGCUUGCCCUAAGCCAGGGCAAUCCCCCAGGCAUUAUAUUUCUUGAACUUGAGAUAUGAUUCUGAUCAACCCACCAAGCUGUCUAAGCCUGCUAUACAGUGCCCAACAACAUGGGUGAUUAUGAAUUUAAGCUCUGAGCAAAGCAUGAAGAGUGGAAAACAUAAAUGUAAACAUUGCAAUUGGAAAAUGGCACCUAAGAAGUUUCUAGCUCCUUCAACAGCAUCUGUUACCUCUGUUAGGACAGUGGCAGUAAUUUUACAAUGCAAUUGCUAUUGAUGCAAACCCUGCAUCAAUUAGUGGACAUUAGAGAAUUAAAGGUACAUUACUUCUACAUGUUCUCAACAGAGUUACAAAGACCUAGAUCUCUAUUUACUUGUUCCUGGACAAAUGAAGUAGCUGGGUAACUUGAAUAAGAAUUUCUUAUUACAGCAGAAUUAAUAAUAUAUUAUUUGAUUUCUUAUUAAACAAGAAAAGAAGGGGGGGAAAAAAGGCACUGUUGAAGUAUCAUGCCAAAAAUUUUUCUCUGCUUGGAAAAACAAUAUAAUAUACCUGGGGACUUGAUCUAUAUAGCUUAUUCCACUGAAACCAAUUUUUUUUCUUUUUAGAAGUUUCUGAGAGCCUUUGUCAGUAAUAUGAAACACAGAAAUAAACUUUAAAUUAAUGUUCUGGUUUAACCCCAGCUUAAGUACUAACUACACAGCUGCUCACUGACUAGUGCCAUUCUUCCCUGGUGGUGUGAAGAGGAGAAUUGGAACUGACUAGUUUGGAUCAGCUGUUCUGGCUGUGUUCCCUUCCAGCUUUCUCUGGAGCUCCUCACUGGCAGACCAGGAGACACUGGAAAGUCCUUGACUUAUAGUGAGCACUGCUCAGCAGCACACAGAACAUCAGUGAACAUCAACAUAAUUCUCAUACUAAAUCCAUAACGCAGCACUGUACCAGCAAGUAAGAAGAAAAUGAACUCUGUGUCCCAUGUGAAAUCAGGACAAUCAGAUGUUUUAGAGUAAAAAACUGAAAUAUCUUCACUUUCAAAGCAACUUCCUUAAACUGUUUAAACUGUCUUCAGUUUCAGCAUGUCUCUGGACAUGCAUUCAAAUUAGCUUUAAAGGAAGGUUUUGAAAUCCCCAGUUUAGUUUUUACUAACCAUUGCUCACAACCUUUACACAACUCUCUGAGGUCUGUAAAGCUUUCAAUAAAUAAGUUUAGGUGGAAGGACCUAAACUUAUUUAUUUAUUGGUAUAAUGACCUAACCUGGUGGUAUUAUCUAUCCAGACCAGAGGAGAGUGCAUGAGAAUCUGAAGUGAGCACCUUACACUGAGAAAAAGGCAGUAUUGUUCCUCAUUAAGCAACAUUUUCUUCAGAUGAAGUGAGUAAGAUGAAGUCUAUUAAGGCAUUUUAGCAGCUAAUUAGCAUUAAAAAUGAAACUUCCUCAGAAAUAUGGUUUCAUUUCAAUUUUGGUUCCUUCUUUGAAGGCUUUCUGUACAAACGUCUGGUAAUCAUACCAGUAUCUCUCAUGGAAACCUUUCAGAAGACCUUCCAUCUUUCCCUUGGCCAAUCAUUUGUUUACCAUCCUCUCUAGACCUGCUUUUCAGCAAAUCAGCUAACAAGUAAAUUUCACCAAAAUUUUCUUUGUCUUUCCUACUAUUUUGUUAGGCAACUUUCUCACAGCCCCAGUUUAUUCUGGCCUUCUAACUUUGCUGUCCUAAUAUUCACCCAACUUUCUAAUGCAUUUUUCAACUGGUCUGCUGUCCAUAGAAGGAUCCUGCAGACAUUGAAAUUAUGCAUCUGAUGGCACUGUGCAUUUUUCAGACAAAUACAUAGACAAUUUGGACUUGUCCUUUCAGAGAUUAGCCAUCUUAUUCUGAUUAAAAGGGCCAGAAACAGGAAAGUGUAUGAUGUCACAGAAAUGCUUUAAAGAGUAGGAAAAAAUGGAUUUAAGCAUGAAAAGGCCUGGAUUAAAGAAAAUAUGAAAGUGUUAAAGAUAAUGAUGUGUUAAGUAAGGAAUACUUAGGUUUUAUUAAGUGGGACUGCAUUUAGCAGUCUAAAAGGAGCGUAUAGAAUCCCAGAAUGAUUUGAUUUGGAAAGGACCUUCAAAAUCAUCUAGUUCUAACUCCAUACAGCAACUACAUUUAUUUUGGAUAUUUUAACUGUUAAGUUUUCUGAAUAUAUCAGGAAACAUAACAGUGCAGGUCAGCUGUCUGUGGCCAGAUUUCUGUCUUUUCUCUUUCCAUUUGAAUAGUUAGAUCAUUUCUUUCAUGCUAUUUUAAGUCCUUUGUAAUCUUUUUCUUUUUAUUGAAAAUAUGAGUGGAGUGCAUUCACCACUGCUGAAAGUCUCCUCCUGGUAAGCAUUGUCACAUAUGACAUAGUCCGUUAUACUCCAUAAAACUGACACAAAUCUCCCCAGUGUCUGUUUAGAUAAUGUAAUUGAAUUAAUCACUUAUAGCAAGCUGCUCAUGAGAGGGAUAUAAAGUAACAAAUGUCAGACCUUUGCCAGAGCAGAAUAAGACAUUAUUGGUAAAGAGAGUUUGCAUUAUACCCAGUGGUGAAUUUUGGAGUGGUCAUCAUGUUUAUAUGAAGAUAUAUUUUGGUUGCUGAACUGAGAAAAAAAAUUAAAGUUUACUUAAUGAUAAGAUCAACUCUAAAGAUAUGUGAGUGGCUAGGUAAUUUCCAAAGAUUCAUAUGUGCUUUUUAUUUUUUUUAUUAUUCUCUUUUCCCCCUUAGUACUUGUUAUCCAUAGGAUGGAUAGCAAUUGAAAGUUCACCAGGAUAAUUCCAUCAAAUGUCUUAAAUGGCAUUGCAUAUGCAAAGCUAUUCUGAUAGCACAAAAAUAUUAGGAAAAUCUCUCUCAAAAUGGCCAAGUAUCUCAGCUGAACCCUUAUUGACAAAUCUACAAAGUGAGGCCUCCAAAAUAAGUAGAAGGAGAACAGCUUAUUUCAGUUUCCUUUUCAAUACUGUCUUAUGUAAAUUGUCAGAGAACUGUGCAUUCAAAUAAUUGAAAUGUGUGGCUAGCUACUUUCAGAGAUAUUUUAAUUAUUUUACAAAGAAAGAUUAUAGUCCUCGGUACAUGACCACAGAACAAAGAAUUGGUUAAAUCAUUUUUCUGGAUGAUUUGCAUUAGGUCUCUGGAUUUUGGACUUUUUAUUAAUGUAGCCAAUUUUAUGGAAGGAUCCUCCCAGGAAGCCCCUGAUGGACCUUGAUUUUUCCUUCUUCAAUGCCAAAUAGUCUAUGAACAAGCUUCUUUAUAGUGGAAGAUGAGAAAUACUUAAUAUGCUGUAAAACAUUUGAUAUGUACACAAGACCAUGAAUUUUGUUAUCUCUAAGAGGUAAAUUCUACUCUCAGUGUUCUGUCUUAAUUUUUAAUUCCUCUGUAAUUGUAGAGAGCAUUUCUGAGCAACGACAGUAGUUCUAACUUUAAUACUCAGUGCUUGCUAUGCAAGCACAGCACAUAAAGUUAACAGAUUGCAUACAAUAUAAAUUUUAAAGUAUUUUCUUAGAAGUUGCACAGUCUGGCCUUUAUUUCUUAUCAUAAAUUAUUCUAUACAAAGGAAACUGUGUGUGUAAUUAUGUUAAUCCCCUCCCAAAAAUACUAUUAAAGAUACAUCAAGAUUUUGAAGUUUCCUGCAUACUACUAAAAUACUGAAAUUUAAAUCCACAGG